UACGUAGGGUGCAAGCGUUAAUCGGAAUUACUGGGCGUAAAGCGUGCGCAGGCGGCUUUGCAAGCCGGAUGUGAAAUCCCCGGGCUUAACCUGGGAAUGGCAUUCGGGACUGCAAGGCUGGAGUGCGGCAGAGGAGACUGGAAUUCCUGGUAUAGCAGUGAAAUGCGUAGAUAUCAGGAGGAAUACCGAUGGCGAAGGCAGGUCUCUGGGCUGAAACUGACGCUAAUGCACGAAAGCGUGGGGAGAAAACAGG
rnacentral:rRNA from 1 species